rnacentral:piRNA from 1 species
UUCAUCUUCACUAUAUACAAA